GCAUGAGAGAGCUGCAAAGUAGAAAGAGGCUGCUGCAUGCCUUAACCCACGUUGUUACUCCAGCCUCCAAACAGCAAUUUGAUUAGCUUUUUUUCGGUGAUAAAAGAUAAAGAUUUAUUGUAACCCACAUACAAUUGAAAUCAGAAUUUCACAGGAGGGUCACAGUCAUUAGGGAAGUUUUGGAAUACUAUUGUCUUAACAAGCACCAUAUGGGCUGCCGCUGUUAUUAUUUAACACCUAUUAAGGAGGCACAUCAUUCUAGGCUUUGAACAGCUGAGAGGCCAUAGCCCCCACCGUCCUUGGAGCUUUGAGUCGAUGCCGCAGGUAGGGUGCGUGUUUUCUGGAUGAAGGGCACGUACCGACAAGAUUUAACGGUGAGUUGGUUUCUUUCCAGGAGUUGGAAAGUAUAGUCAGAGCUAAAUUCUUCUAUAGAGAACCGACUUUUCCGGAGCUUACAUCCGGAACUUUGGUGGAAUUAUGACAUAGGAACACAAGCCUAUAUUCAAAGCGCUUUAAUUAGGUCCAGCAGGCAACCAUCACGCACGAAAGGGGCCACGGGACACCAUUUUCUUCAUACAAAUCAAGAGGCCGGUUGAAAAUAUGGGAGCUGGGUCGUAACUGUCAAACUGUAGAUCUUUUUUCACUUUUUAUGGUUGCUCAGAAUGGCGUUUUUUAAAAGGAAGAAAACAACCGCCGGUUCAGCCAAGCCCUGUUUACUCGAGGGGAAGGAAAGGGGCGGAGGCUCCCGGACUCUCCAGCCGCCUGCGUAAAGGCCUUCGCCCACGAGGAGACCUUGCUGUGGUUUCCAGUGCUGCACCCUGACUCACGCCGCACCCGUAUUUAUUUAUUCUAGAAUUUUUCCCGGGCAGCACAAACGGGAACACCGCCUGCGCCCCGCGCCGCUAUCUGCGCACGUGGAUCCGCGCGACCCCGCGGCGGGACCCGGCGGCGGGCGGGGCCGGGGGCGGGGCCAGGGGCGGGGGUGGGGCCAUGGCGGGGCGGGGCCGGGCUCGGGCCCGGAAGCAGUGGCGGCGCACCCGCCUCGUAAGGCCGCCCUGGCCCAUCCCGCACUGAGCUCCAGGCCCAUGGGCGAGCCAGCUGCGGCGGCUAUAAUUAGAGGGGAGCCGCGGCCCUGCCGAGCCUGAUACCUCGCGCCCCCCGCCGGCGUUCCUGGGAGGAAUGUGCGGGCGCGAGGCCGUGCGUCGCCGCCAGCGCGCUCCCUGGACGGUCACCGCGUGGUGGACCAAAUAAAGUAAAAGAUAACAGGCACGAAAACCAGUUUAGAAGCUUGAGAUGGAAAUCAUACAAAACAGUCCACUCCUUAUAUAUUUUAUCGAGGAACCUGGAAGCCUUUUCGGUGGAAAUUUGAUUCCUGGGAAGUUAUUCUGGCUGGAGCCUGUUUGUCUUGACACAGCAGCCCUGUACUCGCAGCCUGCUCUGCUCCUUCACAAAGCUUUUUGAGGGGAAACUAUGUUGAGAGAUACAAAUUCAAGUUUUUGUGAAAGCACACCUCAGAAUUGUCCAGUUCUAUUCCAGAUACACAAAAACAGUGAAUAAAGGUCAGGGAGUCUCCAGAUACCUUGGGCUUCGUGUGGUCAUUUCAG
ensembl:lncRNA